GCUCGAAUGGCGGAAUUGGUAGACGCGCUGUAUUCAGGGUGCAGUUUCUUAUGGAAGUGCAGGUUCAAGUCCUGUUUCGAGUA
rnacentral:tRNA from 1 species